UAGAGACAUUGUUUCUUUUUUUUUUUUGGUAUAGAUAUAUUACUAGUUCCAGAAAAGACGUAAACUUUCUGUGAUAUUGUGUCUGCCCAGAUUGGAAUUCAAUAGCUGACACAUUUGGUGUCCUCUCCAGCUUCGAUAUAUCUGUGUGUCCUGCAACAACUUUGGGUCCUGAUCAAGCAGUGUGGCCUGUUUACAUUUUGAGACAAUUAUGUGUCCCACAUCAACCAUUUGCCUUAAAACAAAAUAGAACCAUCCUGCACCAUCAUUGUGAUGUGGAUUUUGCUGUGCUUCGUGCGUCACAAUGAUCGAGUCUGGGUCUAUGUCUGAUGACGCCAAUGAGUGGUGGAGUCAGCUGUUUUCUCUAGGACUCCUGUACUCACCAACGGUCACGUGUCUCAUCAAACUCCUCCUAGUCCUAUGGGUUAUCUUUGGUAUCAUUUUCGUCUCUAGUCGCAGAGUUUAGCGUCACAAUGUGGAAAUAUUGACAGGGGAGUUCAGUCAUUCGUAUGAAGCUUUUCACAGGAUUAAAUGGACUGCUCUAUGUAAGAUCAAUAGGCGUUGAACCCGGCUCAAAUCAGAGUGACAUAUAGAUCUAGUUACUAUUCUGUUAAGAGUUUCAAAUACCUUCUAGCCCAUUGCAGAAUGAAGCCGUCAAGGAUCUGAUUUCAAUGGAACUAGACCUUUUUGUGACGCGGUCCGUGACAAGAUUGUCAAUAAUUUAUUUGACACACCCCUCUUUGGUCGAAAAGGGUUGUCAACAGUGCCUGGAUGGAAUGGCGCUGCGUAUACCAGCUGAAAUAAGAGACACACACAUAAGAGACCAUACAGAUCCAAUGCUAAGACAGAAGACAUCUGGGACAUGAGGUUUGCUUUGGCUACAACGAAACGAAAAAAAACAAAAA